UGUUUUCGUCCUUGACUUUUCUUUUCGUGGGUGUUUUCGUAAGGGAUGCACCGAAUGUUCGGCAAUCGAAAUUAUUAAUAAGUGAAAAGGCAGAAUAAAUUUGACCGAACGAUGACGCGACCAAAUAGACUAGCAAGCAGAGUGAGACGCGCAAAUGUCACGACUUCAAUGAGGGGGCGCGCGCAUGCACGAGCUACAUGCACUUCGGAUGUUGACGGGAGUUUACUGUGGAUACAUGCGUUUGUUUUGUUUCUGUUCCGGAGUAUUCUGCCACGUCGUGAGAUGUAAGGGAGUAGGGUACGGAAGCAGGUAAAGACGUAUUUAUUUAAGGGCAGGCAGACAAAUCCAAAUCGUAAUCCAAAAAACGUAGUCAAGACAGGCAAAGGGUCGGGCGUUCGGCAAACAGGCAGAAACGGGGCAAAGCAGGAAUCAGAGUCGCGGUCACAGAAAUCAGGGUCAGAACACAAAACAAGAAACAUGAACUAGUACUAUGGACUGGGAGCGGAAAAACCAGCGGGGAUUAAUUGAACUACUCUAUAGUUGAAACUAACUAAAUCUAUCAAAGAACAUAACAUUAACAACGUCUCUAACUAUACUAUAUCUACUAUAAUACUCCGCGAGGUGUACUGGGACGCGAGCGGUAUAUAUUCCCAAUAUAAUCAGCCGUAUAUCCUGAAUAGAACCAUUUUCUGCACUUUUUAAUGCACUUUUUUGUUGUAGGCUACAGAGUGUUCCAUUCUUUCAGCAGUCAGUUAUAGGCCUAACAUCGGCUAUUCAAGGGGGGCUCAAAGAUGACCACAUCAAAAUAGUUUUAUUUUACUCAUUUAUUUAUUUAAACUUAUUUUGUACCUUGUUGGUAGCCUAUGCCUGCUGGAAAAAAAUGAAAAAAAAUGUUCAGUGUUAAAUAAAUAUUUUUAAAUUGUUUUUGUAAUUGAUUUUUUUCUUUGAAAAGCAAGACAAAAUACUAAAAAGCACAUUUUGACUAUUUAAUUUAUGCAGUGGUGAAAAAAGGCAAAAUGAAUGGAAAAAAUGCGACUUUUCGUAGGUGUUUUCGUCCUUGACUGUUUUUUCGUAGGUGUUUUCGUCCUUGACUUUUCUUUCCGUAGGUGUUUUCGUCCUUGACUUUUCUUUCCGUAGGUGUUUUCGUCCUUGACUUUUCUUUCCGUAGGUGUUUUCGUCCUUGACUUUUUUCGUAGGUGUUUUCGUCCUUGACUUUUCUUUCCGUAGGUGUGUUUUCAUAGUAGACAACCACAUUAGUUUGAGAAGAACUACAUCAAACAGAACUAAUCUACGACAUUUAUAAUUUCUGAAGUCCAUAGAGAAUAAAUUAAAAUGUACGUGUAUGGUUUGAUAUGGAGGACUGAAUGCUAGCCGCCUAAUAAAUGCUACUUCAUGUGCUAACUGCUGAAUGCAAAUAUGUUCACACACGAACAAACUUAUAGUAGCUAACAUUCUCUUUCAAAAAUCAGAAAAGCUGAUCAGUAAACUGUCUCUUUACCUGCUGAUAUUUCAUCACCAAAAACAUUCGUUUCUGUGUGUGUUUGUGGCGUUUCGCCUGGACUGUUCAAUCUCUGGCAGCAAUAGAGCAGUAACGAGCUUAAGGCAUUUAUUGCAGCAGGAACUGCUCAUCUACUUGUACAAAGUACAGCCGGACUCUAGACCUUUCAGUCUGUGUCUUUUGGGUCACGUUUCUUUAUAAGUGCUAUAGUCUGUAGAGGAAAUGCUUAGUCAUAUUAGAAUUUCAAUUAGAAGUGUUGGGUUGGUAAUUGAUAUUAUAAUUUCAAUUUAGUUGCUAAUUUGCAAAUUAUUCAGAGAGCUUGGGAUGCCUGGUCGGACAUCUCUAACAGUAUUUAGCAUUACUGGCCAGAUUGCAUGUUGCAAAAAAACCAUAAUUGCUCAUUAUAACCAUCAUGAUUUCAUUAAUAUGAUUUCCUUCAUGAAUUAUUAAUGAAUAAAAAGGCUAGAGCUGAUUGUAUCAUAAGAUGCAGGCUAUAUGCAUCCAUGAUGCUCAGACGUAAUAGCCAUUCUGAUUGAGUUUCCACUCAAUUACAGUUUCCACGGACAACAGAUUUGUUAUAAUGAUAGUUUCAUCUGAGCCUGGAAACAGACCACAGUUUCCUUUCCACUGUUAUAUAAUAUGGCUUUUACAGAGGGCAUGGCAUUGGUGAAGUCCUGUAAUCGAAUAGCACCGAUUUAUACGUAAAGCAUAAAAGUAAUGUGGCUUUGGGCGUAUUUAUGUCGCCCUUAU
ensembl:lncRNA